rnacentral:rRNA from 1 species
CCCGCCGUCGAAUAGCUAGUUGUUGGGGUAAUGCUACCAGCGACCAUCCGUAGCUGGUCUAGAGAUGACAGCUACACUGGGACUGAGACACCGCCGCAGACUCGUACGGGAGGCAGCAGUGGGAAUAUUCGACCAGAUGGGCGCGAGCCUGAUCCAGCCAUGCCGCGUGGGUGAAGAAGGCCCUAGGGUUGUAAACCGAUGAUGGCGUGGAAGAUAAUGACGGUACCCGCAGAAGAAGCCCCGGCUAACUCCGUGCCAGCAGCCGCGGUAAUACGGAGGGGGCUAGCGUUGUUCGGAAUUACUGGGCGUAAAGCGCGCGUAGGCGGACCUGCAAGUCGGGGGUGAAAGCCCGAGGCUCAACCUCGGAACUGCCUUCGAUACUGCGGGUCUCGAGUCCGGGAGAGGUGAGUGGAAUUCCUAGUGUAGAGGUGAAAUUCGUAGAUAUUAGGAAGAACACCAGUGGCGAAGGCGGCUCACUGGCCCGGUACUGACGCUGAGGCGCGAAAGCGUGGGGAGCAAACAUGAUUAGAUACCCUGGUAGUCCACGCCGUAAAUCUAUGGCUUCCAGCCGUCGGGGAGCUUGCUCUUCGCUCGCGCAGCAAACGCAUUAAGCACCCCGCCUGGGGAGUACGAUCGCAAGAUUAAAACUCAAAGGAAUUGACGGGGGCCCGCACAAGCGGUGGAGCAUGUGGUUUAAUUCGAGGCAACGCGAAGAACCUUACCAGCCC